UACGUAGGGGGCAAGCGUUGUCCGGAAUCAUUGGGCGUAAAGAGCGUGUAGGCGGCCCGAUAAGUCCGCUGUGAAAGUCCAGGGCUCAACCCUGGAAUGCCAGUGGAAACUGCCGGGCUAGAGUCCGGAAGAGGCGAGUGGAAUUCCUGGUGUAGCGGUGGAAUGCGCAGAUAUCAGGAGGAACACCAAUAGCGAAGGCAGCUCGCUGGGACGGUACUGACGCUGAGGCGCGAAAGCGUGGGGAGCAAACAGG
rnacentral:rRNA from 1 species